AGUUGUAGUGCGAAGGCACUGAUCUAUUAUGGCAAUCAUUCCUUUUGUUGUGUUUGGUUGCUAUUUUCAUGUUCUUUGUUCCAACUUGUAAACUGAUGUUUGCCUUUUUAAGAAAGCCUUGACUUGAUGUUCUCUUAUUUACUUUUUUGGCAUUAAGUUGGAUUAUUGUUUUUUUCAUUGUUGUGUUUCUUAUCAUUACUUUCUAAUGUAAUUCAUUUGUGUCUGGAUUUUUCAGAGGAUGUCACUCCUAUUCCUUCCGACAGCACCCGUAGAAAGAGUGGUAGAAGGGGUAGAAGGCUCUAGAUUCCUUAUGUUGUAUGGAGUUGUAUCUUUUACUUUCCAUGCCAAACAGAAUUGCGGCAUUUUGAAUUUUGAUUUUCAACAUCUAAACAUCAAGUAUUUAGUAAUGAUUAAGAAUGAGUUUAUUUUGACAUCAAUUUAGAAAGACUAAUGAUUUUGAAUGUUGUUCCAUGGCUUGUUAUGUUUCCCAUAUCCUCUGUUGUUUGUCUUGGAACUGGUCUGCUCAUGAUAUU
rnacentral:lncRNA from 1 species